rnacentral:rRNA from 1 species
AGUGUACGUCAGACUUCCAAGAAAAGCUCGCAAUGCCAUGAAUAAAAAAUGCCUGUACCAUAACCGACACAGGUGGGUAGGUAGAGUAUACUAAGGGGCGCGAGAUAACUCUCUCUAAGGAACUCGGCAAAAUGACUCCGUAACUUCGGGAGAAGGAGUGCCUUAUUUAUAAGGUUGCAAUAACAAGAUCCAAGCAACUGUUUAUCAAAAACACAGGUCUCCGCUAAGUCGUAAGACGAUGUAUGGGGGCUGACGCCUGCCCAGUGCCAGAAGGUUAAAGAAGUUGGUUAGUGUAUGCGAAGCUGAUGACUGAAGCCCUGGUGAACGGCGGCCGUAACUAUAACGGUCCUAAGGUAGCGAAAUUCCUUGUCGGGUAAGUUCCGACCCGCACGAAAGGCGUAAUGAUUUGGAUACUGUCUCGGAGAGAGGCUCGGUGAAAUAGACUUGUCUGUGAAGAUGCGGACUACCUGCACCAGGACAGAAAGACCCUAUGAAGCUUUACUGUAACUUGAAAUUGGAAUUGGACUUUGCUUGCGCAGUAUAGGUGGGAAGCGUUGAAGAUAUUCUUGCGGGAGUAUUGGAGCUAUCAGUGAGAUACCACUCUUGUAAUGUUAGAUUUCUAACUUUGAACCAUAAUCUGGUCAAAGAACAGUUUCAGGUGGGCAGUUUGACUGGGGCGGUCGCCUCCCAAAUGGUAACGGAGGCGUACAAAGGUUUCCUCUGAACGGAUAGAAAUCGUAUCUAGAGUGUAAAGGCAUAAGGAAGCUUGACUGUGAGGCCUACAAGUCGAGCAGGGACGAAAGUCGGUCUUAGUGAUCUGACGGUACUGAGUGGAAAGGCCGUCACUCAACGGAUAAAAGUUACUCUAGGAUAACAGGCUGAUCUCCCCCAAGAGUUCACAUCGACGGGGAGGUUUGGCACCUCGAUGUCGGCUCAUCGCAUCCUGGGGCGGUAGUACGUCCCAAGGGUUGGGCUGUUCGCCCAUGAAAGCGGUACGCGAGCUGGGUUCAGAACGUCGUGAGACAGUUCGGUCCAUAUCCGGUGUAGGCGUUAGAAUAUUGAGAGGAGCCUUCUUUAGUACGAGAGGACCGAGAAGGACACACCGCUGGUGUACCAGUUAUCGUGCCAACGGUAAACGCUGGGUAGCUAUGUGUGGAGUGGAUAACCGCUGAAAGCAUCUAAGUGGGAAGCCCACCUCAAGAUGAGUAUUCUCA